rnacentral:rRNA from 1 species
UGAUUCUUUUAGUAAUGGCGAAUGAACAAAGACAUGGUCAUUUUGAAAAUUGUGGUCUUAGAUCAUGAAUUGUAUUUUCAAAAUGCAUUGCUAACACAACUGCACAUGUUUGUUUAUUGGAAAGAACAUCACAAAGGGUGACAAUCCCAUGUGUCAUGUGUAUGUUUUGUGUACAGCGUGCAUUAUAUGAAUCACAUUCAUUGACAAUUGAAUGCAAAUAGAAUGGUAAAUUUCAUUUAAUCAUAAAUAUGUUGUUGACAACUUAUAGCAAACAAAUACCAUGAGGGAAAUGUGAAAAGGAUUUUGAAAAGAAAAUUAAAAGAGCUUGCAAUUGCUGAACUGAUAAGCAAACAAAACAUACGUGUGUAUGCAAGAUUGUUGUAAUGCUUAGCAUCUUAUGCAAGGCUAUUGCAAUGAUUUUUUGUAUAGUGAUGCUACCUUUUUUUAGAAUUUGGAAUGUCUUUUUUUGAGUGUGAAUGGAAUUUUGUUUGUUAGCAAAGGAAUGCACUUUUAGAUUCAUUGUUUGAUUUGAUUUAAAAAUGUUUGUGACACAUGUCUUUGUUUUAGUUUCAUGCUUCAACCAAGGACAUUGUGUUUGAUCCAUAUCAGCAAUACAUGUUUUGUUUGACCCGUCUUGAAACACGGACCAAGGAGUUUAAUUUAUGUGCAAGAUCAUGAAACUGACAUUUGUAUAUCAAUGAAAAUAUUUUGUUGGGAUUUGUGCACCAACAACUGAUAAGUUGUGUGACGCGACGUUGAGUUUGAGCAUGUUGAUUAAAACCCGAAAGAUGGUGAACUAUGCCUGAACAGAAUGAAGUCAGA